rnacentral:miRNA from 10 species
AAAACUGCUUAUGUAUCUAUUAGGUUGGCGCAAAAGUAAAAAACUGCAAUUACUUUUGUGCCAACCUACUA